rnacentral:rRNA from 1 species
UACGGAGGGGGCAAGCGUUAAUCGGAAUUACUGGGCGUAAAGCGUGCGCAGGCGGUUAUGUAAGACAGUUGUGAAAUCCCCGGGCUCAACCUGGGAACUGCAUCUGUGACUGCAUAGCUAGAGUACGGUAGAGGGGGAUGGAAUUCCGCGUGUAGCAGUGAAAUGCGUAGAUAUGCGGAGGAACACCGAUGGCGAAGGCAAUCCCCUGGACCUGUACUGACGCUCAUGCACGAAAGCGUGGGGAGCAAACAGG